rnacentral:rRNA from 1 species
AGAGUUUGAUCAUGGCUCAGGACGAACGCUGGCGGCGUGCCUAAUACAUGCAAGUAGAACGCUGAAGAGAGGAGCUUGCUCUUCUUGGAUGAGUUGCGAACGGGUGAGUAACGCGUAGGUAACCUGCCUUGUAGCGGGGGAUAACUAUUGGAAACGAUAGCUAAUACCGCAUAACAAUGGAUGACACAUGUCAUUUAUUUGAAAGGGGCAAUUGCUCCACUACAAGAUGGACCUGCGUUGUAUUAGCUAGUAGGUGAGGUAAUGGCUCACCUAGGCGACGAUACAUAGCCGACCUGAGAGGGUGAUCGGCCACACUGGGACUGAGACACGGCCCAGACUCCUACGGGAGGCAGCAGUGGGGAAUCUUCGGCAAUGGGGGCAACCCUGACCGAGCAACGCCGCGUGAGUGAAGAAGGUUUUCGGAUCGUAAAGCUCUGUUGUAAGUCAAGAACGGGUGUGAGAGUGGAAAGUUCACACUGUGACGGUAGCUUACCAGAAAGGGACGGCUAACUACGUGCCAGCAGCCGCGGUAAUACGUAGGUCCCGAGCGUUGUCCGAAUUUAUUGGGCGUAAAGCGAGCGCAGGCGGUUUGAUAAGUCUGAAGUUAAAGGCUGUGGCUCAACCAUAGUUCGCUUUGGAAACUGUCAAACUUGAGUGCAGAAGGGGAGAGUGGAAUUCCAUGUGUAGCGGUGAAAUGCGUAGAUAUAUGGAGGAACACCGGUGGCGAAAGCGGCUCUCUGGUCUGUAACUGACGCUGAGGCUCGAAAGCGUGGGGAGCGAACAGGAUUAGAUACCCUGGUAGUCCACGCCGUAAACGAUGAGUGCUAGGUGUUGGAUCCUUUCCGGGAUUCAGUGCCGCAGCUAACGCAUUAAGCACUCCGCCUGGGGAGUACGACCGCAAGGUUGAAACUCAAAGGAAUUGACGGGGGCCCGCACAAGCGGUGGAGCAUGUGGUUUAAUUCGAAGCAACGCGAAGAACCUUACCAGGUCUUGACAUCCCGAUGCUAUUUCUAGAGAUAGAAAGUUACUUCGGUACAUCGGUGACAGGUGGUGCAUAGUUGUCGUCAGCUCGUGUCGUGAGAUGUUGGGUUAAGUCCCGCAACGAGCGCAACCCCUAUUGUUAGUUGCCAUCAUUCAGUUGGGCACUCUAGCGAGACUGCCGGUAAUAAACCGGAGGAAGGUGGGGAUGACGUCAAAUCAUCAUGCCCCUUAAGACCUGGGCUACACACGUGCUACAAUGGUUGGUACAACGAGUUGCGAGCCGGUGACGGCGAGCUAAUCUCUUAAAGCCAAUCUCAGUUCGGAUUGUAGGCUGCAACUCGCCUACAUGAAGUCGGAAUCGCUAGUAAUCGCGGAUCAGCACGCCGCGGUGAAUACGUUCCCGGGCCUUGUACACACCGCCCGUCACACCACGAGAGUUUGUAACACCCGAAGUCGGUGAGGUAACCUUUUGGAGCCAGCCGCCUAAGGUGGGACAGAUGAUUGGGGUGAAGUCGUAACAAGGUA